rnacentral:rRNA from 1 species
GAUGAACGCUAGCGGCAGGCCUAAUACAUGCAAGUCGAACGGUGUCUUCGGACAUAGUGGCGCACGGGUGCGUAACACGUAUGCAACCUACCUUACAUUGGGGGAUAGCCUUUCGAAAGGGAGAUUAAUACCGCAUAAGACAGUAGCUGGGCAUCCAGCAGCUGUUAAAGAUUUAUCGAUGUAAGCUGGGCAUGCGUCCAAUUAGCUAGUUGGUGAGGUAACGGCUCACCAAGGCUAUGAUUGGUAGGGGAACUGAGAGGUCAAUCCCCCACACUGGCACUGAGAUACGGGCCAGACUCCUACGGGAGGCAGCAGUAGGGAAUAUUGGGCAAUGGACGCAAGUCUGACCCAGCCAUGCCGCGUGCAGGAUGAAGGCGUUAUGCGUUGUAAACUGCUUUUGACAGGGAAGAAAUCACUUAUGCGUAAGUGUCUGACGGUACCUGUAGAAUAAGCACCGGCUAACUCCGU